CAACCGCCUUUCAACUCCGUUCUCCGCCGUGUAAACGCCCAUCGUACUCCACACCACACUCUCCAACACCUCCCGUCGCCCACCUCCAGCUUCACAUCCACCGAUUCCUUUAUGUACUUCUCUCCAAAUCUCCUCGGAAGGUCUCAUUGUCACCAUGAAUGAAGGAUUAUUCCUCCUCGAUUUGAACCAGCUCGCUCUCUUUUUAACUGCUAGUUGAUUCUCCGUCAAUGCCGGUGGCGUCUUCCUUGGAUUCAUCGGUCUCAUCGAUUCCGGACUGACUCGGCCAUCGUCUCCCUCAUUAUACACUGAAAUCGAUGAAAGAAGGAUUCAAAGUCAUGGAUUGAAAUCUGUUAGCUUCCGCCAUCGCCCUUGCUUGCUGGCUCCCCGUCGACGGCGGCCUCCACCUGCUGUUCGUCGGUUUCUUCACCCCAGAGCUAAGAUCACCAUCCUUGAAAUCUAUGAAAUAAAAGCUAGGUAAUAAAUAAAUAGUGCAAAGCAUGCAUGGAAAAACAUAUAUACCUUAGGUAAACAAUUAAAAAAAAGGUGGUCUUAGGCAAAGAAACAUACCUAGGUCAAGACAAUCAUCAUCAAAAUAUGUCUCCAUUUUUACCUUUUCCUUAGCUUUAUCCAGACGAGUUUUCUUUACGGGAUACUCAAUUUCCGUGGCAGUAUGAUCAAAGAUGACUACAUAGAAACUCGGAGAUGGGUUUUCAUAUUUGAACACAAGAAAGUAGCCACUUUUAACAGAAUAAAACCCUACAAGCUUUUCCCAACCAUAAUGUAACCAAACUCUUGUUCCAUUAUUACUCUUUGUCAACCCAACGUUCCAUUCUUUGCCAUCCCUCACUUUUAGACAUAUUUGAUCCUUUAACAAAGCUUUUAGGCCAUAUUCCCUCACAAACUUUCUUGGGAUUUCCUAAACAUAAAAAUGAAAGAAAAACAUUUGUAGAGUUUAACAUGCAUGGAAAGAGAUAAUUACAAAAGACAUAGAUACAUAUAUAGUAUAGCUUUUUGCUUACAAGUUUUUGUUCCUUGAGAGCAUCAUCAAGAACAACUUUAAAGAAAUGAGGAUUGUGUAACGCUCCACUAGAUUGUUUAACGAUGCUGUUUGAUCGGUAAUGAGAGGAAGAAGCCAUGAGUUCAAACUCAGCUUGCUGAAGAAAAGGUGUUGAAUAAUCCUGUUCUAUAUAUUGACUAAGAAAUGAACUUAAAAAAAAGUGUGGGUGCAUGCAAAUUAAUUAAAUAAACUAAUCUAUCUCUUAGUGUUUAAUUAGUUUGUUUAAUGGAAUAUCUUUAUUUGUUUGCUGUGAAUUUAUGCCAUGCGAAUAUCAAGAGAUUCGGUGAAGGCAAAAAAGGCUGACAAAAUCUUGUUUAUUAAAUGCUGAUUAGAAAGGAUAUUGAAGGAGUUAUUAAUGAUGUUGGUGUAAACCUUUUCUUCACUCUCAACACAUCUUUUUAAUCAACGAGUCUUCUUCUAUAAA